GGGGACAAAGCCAGCUGUCCCAGGGAGGGAAGGGCAUGCUUAAGUCUUCCUCUCGCCUGGCCAGGAGAAACACGGCAAGAGCCACGGCGUGCAGACCAGGACUCAGUACACAAGUGUGAGCAUGUGUGAGAAGACCCUCAUCCUCACCAAUUAAAGAGCACCCGGUUGCCAAAACAUAACUCAGAGACACUUCUGAGACAUGACAGUGGCCAUGAUUAUACCGGACAGCAGGUGGCCCAGGAGGACUUGGACACAUGGGUCAUGAAGUUACCCACGCUGCAGAGGAGACAUGAAGUCGGGAGGGUGUGUGCAAUCCUGGCCUUGUGAUAUCCCUUGUUGGUGACUAAACACGGAAGCUCUCAAUGAAUUGAACCCUGUUUUGUGUCUCACUUGGCCCUGACUGCUCGCCACAAUAGAUGGGUCCAGAGUCUACAUCCAGCCAGGCCAAGCCAACCAUACCAGCUUCCGACCCAAUCAUCAGCUUCAUCAAAGCAAAUUGAUUUUAGGUGGAUAUUGACCAAUCUUGACCUGGUUUAAAUCCUUCAGGGUUACUUGAAAAGUGCUGAAGACACAUUUCCCAUCUUUCAAAAGAAGCCAUAACGUUCAGAAAGUCUACAUGUAUUUAUUCUCAAUGUCUGAGAAGUCUACAUCACCCUUACCUAAAAACUGUCAGUAUUUUCACAGAGAAAUCCAUUAGCAAUCUUCUUAUUAAAGCUUAGUUUCAUUAUUAUUUUACUUUAUACUCCCUGAAUAUUAAUGAGGAUGGAUUUCAUUCUGUGUUCAUAUUCCUUGUGCAUUUUAUAUUCCUUGUAUAUAUAUGUACAAUGCAUUUGAUGGUUUUAAUGUGAACAGUCUAUAAUCACAAAAAAAUAUUUUCAUCCUUAGACUUCACCUACAGGUUACUUCACAAAACACAUACUUAAACCAAGUAAUGGGGGAGUUAAAAAACAGAUACUGGAAAUGUGUACUAAGGAAGAGUUAACAAACCAAAUUUGAUAAUGCGUUCAAAAUAGAAUUCAAAAUGAGAAAAUAAGCAAAUGGAAUUUUUACUUUGAGCUUAAUAAGUGUAACAUUGUGCAAAAAAGUGUGUAAGGACAAAAGUUAGUGAGUCUUUAUAAGAUGUUAAUGAUCAUGUACAUACAGUAUAGUUUUGAAUCCAGAGAACAUACACUGCAGCAAUAGGAAGACAAUCCUGCGGAAAUUCUGUCACCAACAGAUGGGCCAGAGGGUCAGAGAGAGGAGCAGCAUAUUUUGCACACAACAAAGAAAGAAAACCACGCGUUUCCAAAGACUCACUGUGUCCUUAAUCAGGAAAGUUAACCAUGAGGAAGAAGCAAGAAAUGACCCCCAGUUCAGAG